UAUAUAUAUAGGGUGGCAGCUGCAGCUCCCCACACUCCACACAUGAGAGUGGAUAGGAGAAGAUACUCUGGGAAAGCUGCCUGGCUUGACUCCAUAAGCUCUGGAUUCAAUUGAGAGAGCCCCUGCCUCAACAUAAAAGAGUUCAAAGAGUACAGGAGGAAGCUGAGUGUCAUUGUGCACAAAUGUGUCCCGGCAUCCAGGAAGGUGAGGCCAGAGGACCAUGAAUUCCAAGUGAGUGCACUUCCCAGCAUCCCUUGCCGCAGCUGUGUACUGUGAUUGAGAUUAAAGCCAUAGACCAUGAGAUGAUCCUUCCAGGCCUGGUCCAGGAGAUGUGCCCU